UCCUACGGGAGGCAGCAGUGAGGAAUAUUGGUCAAUGGUCGAGAGACUGAACCAGCCAUGCCGCGUGAAGGUCACGGCCCUAUGGGUCUUAAACUUCUUUUGUAAGGGAGCAAUAAGUCUCACGUGUGGGAUGAUGAGAGUACCUUACGAAUAAGCAUCGGCUAAUUCCGUGCCAGCAGCCGCGGUAAU
rnacentral:rRNA from 1 species